AUGGGGAGGGGUCUGACCUCGGCACUGGGAGUGACGGGGCCUGGGGAGGGGACGCACACCCGGGGACUAGCCCACGGCUCCGGCGGAGGCUCUCGGUGGUGGGGGAAGGGCCCGACCAAGGGAGGGGCUCCCGGGUGCGGGGCUCGGCGGGGCCGCGGGGGCAGGAGGCCGGGCAGACGCUCCGCGGGGAGAGGGCCCCUCGCAGGGGCUCUGAGCGCGCCCGACCCCCGCCCGGAGCAGGGCCGCGGCGGCCCGGGGGAGGGGCGGCGGGGGCGCGGGCGAGGGCCGCGGGGCGCAGGGCGCGGAGGGGAGCUGUCCAAGGUGGGCGCGCCGCGGCCCGGGCGGCGGGGCCCGCGCGCUGGGGGCUCCGGGCGGGGGCCGCGGGGGCGCAGGAGGGCCCGGGCCCGCGCCCGGGGGGGGGGGCUCGGACAAAGGAGGGGCGCGCGGGGAGAGGGCGCCGCGGGCCUCGCGGGUGGGGUGCGGCGGGGGCCCCCGCCCGGCCCCCGCCCCGGCCGCCUACCUGGGCGCUCGUCCUGCGGCGCCGCCGCGGCUGCUGCUGGCCGGCUCGUGUCCGCUCGGGCGCCGCCGCCCCCCGCGCGCCCGCCGCCCGCCGCCCGCCCGCCCGAGCCGCCGCCGCCGCGCCCGCGCCCGUCCCCGCCCGUCCCCGCCCGCCGGGCGCCGCGCUCCGCCCCUCCCCGGGGACCCGCGCCCGGCCAAGGUCACGGCCGCCCCGACCCCCGCCCCGCGCACACGCGCCCCCGCCCGCGCCCUGGGGAGUCGCCGGGCCGGCUGGGGGGGCGACGGGGCGGGGUCGGCCUGCCUCUUCGGGAGCCCCGCUCCCCAGGGUCACCCUGGAGCCAGGCGCGGGGCACGAGGGCGCAGCGUGAGGUCACCCCGAGCGGAGGGAAGGGGGUAUUGGCGGAGCUGCAGCCUAGGCCCCGGCGGUGCUGGGGUCGGUGGUGGGGUCGUGGGCCAGCCAGGGUCCCGCAGGGGAGUGGGGCCUUGCCGGGAUGA
rnacentral:lncRNA from 1 species